GACAGAGGCCUCGAGCGUUAGGCGGAAUCACUGGGCUUAAAGCGUGUGUAGGCGGACGCCUAAGUGUCUUGUGAAAUCCCACGGCUCACCCGUGGAACUGCUGGGCAUACUGGGCGUCUUGGGCCAUUCAGGGGCAACUGGAACAAGCGGUGGAGCGGUGAAAUGCGUAGAUAUCGCUUGGAACGCCGAAGGUGAAAACAGGCUGCUGGGGUUG
rnacentral:rRNA from 1 species